rnacentral:rRNA from 1 species
CAAUAGCGUAUAUUAAAGUUGUUGCAGUUAAAAAGCUCGUAGUUGGAUUUCUGGUGGGAGCGAUCGGUCUGGCGCUUAGCGCGAGUACUUGCAUCGUCUCCGGCCAUCCUUGGGGAGAGUCUGUCUGGCAUUAGGUUGUCGGGCAGAGGAUCCUCAUCGUUUACUGUGAAAAAAUUAGAGUGUUCAAAGCAGGCUUAUGCCGUUGAAUAUAUUAGCAUGGAAUAAUAAGGUAGGACUUUGGUACUAUUUUGUUGGUUUGCGCACCAAAGUAAUGAUUAAUAGGGACAGUUGGGGGUAUUCGUAUUCCGUUGUCAGAGGUGAAAUUCUUGGAUUUACGGAAGACGAACUACUGCGAAAGCAUUUACCAAGGAUGUUUUCAUUAA